rnacentral:tRNA from 1 species
UCUAAUGUGGCAGAAUAGUGCAAUGAAUUUAAGCUUCAUAUAAAAAAUAAUUAUUUUUAUUAGAA